rnacentral:lncRNA from 1 species
ACAGAAUACUAAGCUCCUUCACUCUUCCCUAAUGUUGAUAAACUAGAGGAUCUGGUAAGGUAACAAAAACGGAGAAAGACAAGUGUGGAGAUGUGAGGUUUAGUUAAAUAGCUGUUUUGGGGAAAUUGACACUUAUGUACAAUUUAUAAUGUCCAGGAAAUUGAGACCACUUAAUUCCAAUAUCAUUGCCUUUUAAAACCAUCAGGCACAGAUGUGCAGGAUCGCUUCCGCCCCAAGGUCCACAGCUCCCAGCAACACAGUACCUGUCUGUCUAAUUCUCAUGUUAGACACACGUAACUAUUCAUAAAUGACCAUUCUCAAGGAGCUGAACAUUCCUCCAACACCUGCUUGGUACAUGGGAUGUAGAGACUGACAAAGAUGUGGGUUUUUCCCUGAAAGACAUUUUGUGGUUUUUCAUUUAUUAAGGUUUUAUCCCUUCAUUCCUCAGUUAGGGACUCAGGCAUUUGACAAAGAUAAAGACAGUGCCCAAAGCAUUUUAUAUUA